rnacentral:rRNA from 1 species
UACGAAGGGGGCUAGCGUUGUUCGGAAUAACUGGGCGUAAAGCGCACGUCGGCGGAUCUGUAAGUCAGGGGUGAAAUCCCGGGGCUCAACCUCGGAACUGCCUUUGAUACUGCAAGUCUAGAGUCCGGAAGAGGUGAGUGGAAUUCCUAGUGUAGAGGUGAAAUUCGUAGAUAUUAGGAAGAACACCAGUGGCGAAGGCGGCUCACUGGUCCGGAACUGACGCUGAGGUGCGAAAGCGUGGGGAGCAAACAGG